AGUGGCCAAGAGUAACAUUUACCCUUCUGAGUCAUUAGCUCAGUCUUACAGUGAGGGAAACUGAGGCCCAGAGAGGAGAAUUCAAGGUCACAAAGGAAAAAUCAUAAUGGUUAGAUGUCUUAGCUCAUCGGUGGCUCUCCUCCUUGUCCUGGCACCAUCCGAUUAUUGAAUGGCACUAGAAUGGACAUUUCAAAGGAUAACCUUGAAAAAUAAAGGAGCAAUGAAGUUCUUCCCUCACUCAGUGGCCAGUCCGCACACCGUUCAGGGGUGUGAUCAACUUCAUCGAAAGGACUCAGCCCCUCCGAAGGAGGUCAAUCUCCCGGCAGAGACUUUAAAGAAAGCGCAUCGCCCGAAGGUCUGCUUCUCCCAGGAGGGGAUUUACUCUUCACCUCUCCGCCUCAGGAGUGUUAA